rnacentral:rRNA from 1 species
UGAGUAACCUGCCCUUAACUCUGGGAUAAGCCUGGGAAACUGGGUCUAAUACCGGAUAUGACUCCUCAUCGCAUGGUGGGGGGUGGAAAGCUUUAUUGUGGUUUUGGAUGGACUCGCGGCCUAUCAGCUUGUUGGUGAGGUAAUGGCCUACCAAGGCGACGACGGGUAGCCGGCCUGAGAGGGUGACCGGCCACACUGGGACUGAGACACGGCCCAGACUCCUACGGGAGCAG